CCUACGGGUGGCUGCAGUGGGGAAUUUUGGACAAUGGGCGCAAGCCUGAUCCAGCAAUGCCGCGUGAGUGAAGAAGGCCUUCGGGUUGUAAAGCUCUUUUGUCAGGGAAGAAACGGGAGAGGCUAAUAUCUUUUCCUAAUGACGGUACCUGAAGAAUAAGCACCGGCUAACUACGUGCCAGCAGCCGCGGUAAUACGUAGGGUGCAAGCGUUAAUCGGAAUUACUGGGCGUAAAGCGUGCGCAGGCGGUUUUGUAAGUCUGACGUGAAAUCCCCG
rnacentral:rRNA from 1 species